rnacentral:tRNA from 1 species
GGGACUAUAGUUAAUAAUAACAUUUGAGUUGCAUUCAAAAAGUACUACUUUAAGCAGUUAGCCUCA